AAUCCGUGGUGUGCACAUAUGUUCAUUAGGUCUUUGAAUCUCUCCCAGAAUUCCUAAAAUGUCUCGUCACCUUUUUGCAUAAACUGACUGAUUUGCUUUUGUAAGUAU